rnacentral:rRNA from 1 species
UACGAAGGGGGCUAGCGUUGUUCGGAUUUACUGGGCAUAAAGGGCGCGUAGGCGGAUUUUUAAGUCGGGGGUGAAAUCCCGGAGCUCAACUCCGGAACUGCCUUCGAUACUGAAAGUCUGGAGCACGGUAGAGGUGAGUGGAAUUCCGAGUGUAGAGGUGAAAUUCGUAGAUAUUCGGAGGAACACCAGUGGCGAAGGCGACUCACUGGACCGUUGCUGACGCUGAGGCGCGAAAGCGUGGGGAGCUAACAGG